AUUGAACGCUGGCGGCAUGCCUUACACAUGCAAGUCGAACGGCAGCACGGGUGCUUGCACCUGGUGGCGAGUGGCGAACGGGUGAGUAAUACAUCGGAACAUGUCCUGUAGUGGGGGAUAGCCCGGCGAAAGCCGGAUUAAUACCGCAUACGAUCUACGGAUGAAAGCGGGGGACCUUCGGGCCUCGCGCUAUAGGGUUGGCCGAUGGCUGAUUAGCUAGUUGGUGGGGUAAAGGCCUACCAAGGCGACGAUCAGUAGCUGGUCUGAGAGGACGACCAGCCACACUGGGACUGAGACACGGCCCAGACUCCUACGGGAGGCAGCAGUGGGGAAUUUUGGACAAUGGGCGAAAGCCUGAUCCAGCCAUGCCGCGUGUGUGAAAAAGGCCUUCGGGUUGUAAAGCACUUUUGUCCGGAAAGAAAUCCUUGGCCCUAAUACGGUCGGGGGAUGACGGUACCGGAAGAAUAAGCACCGGCUAACUACGUG
rnacentral:rRNA from 1 species